rnacentral:rRNA from 1 species
CUAGCUGUAAACGAUGGAUACUAGGCGUUGAGAGUAUCGACCCUCUCAGUGUCGUAGCUAACGCGUUAAGUAUCCCGCCCGGGGAGUACGCGCGCAAGCGUGAAACUCAAAGGAAUUGACGGGGGCCCGCACAAGCGGUGGAGUAUGUGGUUUAAUUCGAUGCAACGCGAAGAACCUUACCAGGGCUUGACAUGUCCGGAACCCUGCCCAAAGGCGGGGGUGCCUACGGGAACCGGAACACAGGUGGUGC